rnacentral:rRNA from 1 species
UUAACUGAGCGUUCAGUUACUUGACGUAGACCCGAAACCGGGCGACCUACCCAUGAGCAGGAUGAAGCGAAAGUAAAAUUUCGUGGAGGUCCGAACCCACGCGCGUUGAAAAGCUCGGGGAUGACUUGUGGGUAGCGGUGAAAUUCCAAUCGAGCCCGGAGAUAGCUGGUUCUCCCCGAAAUAGCUUUAGGGCUAGCCUCAAGGUGAGAAACGGAGGUAGAGCACUG